UACGUAGUCCCUAAGUGGUUCCCACUUGUAUUGGGCCUAAAACACCUGUAGCCUGUAGUUCAAGUCUUUCGUGAAAUCAGCUCGCUCAACGAGUCGAAUUGCGAAAGAUACUGUUCUGCUUGGGGAAUUGAGACGUAAAGAGAAUUUUUGGGGUAACGGUGAAAUGUGAUGAUCCCAAAAAGACUUCCAGUAGCGAAGGCGCUUUACGAGAAAUAUCCUGACGGUGAGAGAUGAAAGCUGGGGGAGCGACCCG
rnacentral:rRNA from 1 species